rnacentral:rRNA from 1 species
AGUGAAAAGCACUUGAAGAGUGACUUAAAGGAGGACGGAAACCGAUAAGACGGUAACGGAUAGAGCUAGCGUAUCUAACCUGUAUUCAUCUGCUCAACUGGUUGGAGUUGGCCCCAUUCUGUCCCUAGCUAUGGGCAAUGCUGGGUUAACUGCUGUUUCGCAACUAACUGGAUUGGGUGGUGCAUUUGCAGGUGGAGUGCGCUGAGGCCUGCUGGUUAGCGAUUGGAAGCUUGUUUAGAGGAUGCUUGGAGCUUUUCGGAGUUUCAGGUGAACCUUGGGCUGGUGAAAGACUGUUUGGCUGGCGCUGUUGCAUUAAUGAGUUCGGUGCAUUCGUACACAUUUGGUAAUGAUUGGGCGUCUGGUGGCGGUCGCUUGCGACACGUGCUUGUUCUGUUUAGUUGUUGCUGGGUGUGUACACGGGCUCGCAGACCUCGGUGUAAAAGCUGGUCAUCUAUCCGACCCGUCUUGAAACACGGACCAAGGAGUCUAGCGUGUGCGCGAGUCAUUGGGUGUUUAAAACCCAAAGGAGUAAUGAAAGUAAAGGUCACCUUUAUCGGUUGGCUGAUAUGUGAUCCGGUUUGGCUACGGCCGGCCGGCGCAGCAUAUCCCCGCUUCAAUUGCUUGCAAUGGGGCGGAGGUGGAGCGUACGCGCUGAGACCCGAAAGAUGGUGAACUAUGCCUGAGCAGGAUGAAGCCAGAGGAAACUCUGG